rnacentral:rRNA from 1 species
UACGUAGGGGGCAAGCGUUGUCCGGAAUCAUUGGGCGUAAAGAGCGUGUAGGCGGCUUGGUAAGUCCGCUGUGAAAGUCCAGGGCUCAACCCUGGAAUGCCGGUGGAAACUGUCAAGCUUGAGUCCGGAAGAGGCGAGUGGGAUUCCUGGUGUAGCGGUGAAAUGCGCAGAUAUCAGGAGGAACACCAAUGGCGAAGGCAGCUCGCUGGGACGGUACUGACGCUGAGACGCGAAAGCGUGGGGAGCAAACAGG